rnacentral:rRNA from 1 species
UGGGGAAUAUUGCACAAUGGGCGAAAGCCUGAUGCAGCGACGCCGCGUGAGGGAUGACGGCCUUCGGGUUGUAAACCUCUUUCAGCAGGGACGAAGCGCACGUGACGGUACCUGCAGAAGAAGCACCGGCUAACUACGUGCCAGCAGCCGCGGUAAUACGUAGGGUGCAAGCGUUGUCCGGAAUUACUGGGCGUAAAGAGUUCGUAGGCGGUUUGUCGCGUCGUUUGUGAAAACCAGCAGCUCAACUGCUGGCUUGCAGGCGAUACGGGCAGACUUGAGUACUGCAGGGGAGACUGGAAUGCCUGGUGUAGCGGUGAAAUGCGCAGAUAUCAGGAGGAACACCGGUGGCGAAGGCGGGUCUCUGGGCAGUAACUGACGCUGAGGAACGAAAGCGUGGGUAGCGAACAGG